rnacentral:rRNA from 1 species
GAUGAACGCUAGCGGGAGGCUUAACACAUGCAAGUCGAGGGGCAGCACGAGGUAGCAAUACUUUGGUGGCGACCGGCGCACGGGUGAGUAACGCGUAUGUAACCUACCUUGUACAGGGGGAUAGCCCGGAGAAAUUCGGAUUAAUACCCCAUAAUGAUAUUUGAAGGCAUCUUUGAAUAUUUAAAGUUUCGACGGUUUGAGAUGGGCAUGCGUGACAUUAGCUAGUUGGUAAGGUAAUGGCUUACCAAGGCUACGAUGUCUAGGGGUUCUGAGAGGAUGAUCCCCCACACUGGUACUGAGACACGGACCAGACUCCUACGGGAGGCAGCAGUGAGGAAUAUUGGUCAAUUGGCGCAAGCCUGAACCAGCCAUCCCGCGUGUAGGAAGACUGCCCUAUGGGUUGUAAACUACUUUUUUAUGGGAAGAAAAUUCUGUACGUGUACAGAACUGACGGUACCAUACGAAUAAGCAUCGGCUAACUCCGUGCCAGCAGCCGCGGUAAUACGGAGGAUGCAAGCGUUAUCCGGAUUUAUUAGGUUUAAAGGGUGUGUAGGCGGAGCAGUAAGUCAGUGGUGAAAUCCUGCGGCUUAACCGUAGAACUGCCAUUGAAACUACUGCCCUUGAGUACAGUUGAGGUAGGCGGAAUGUGUCAUGUAGCGGUGAAAUGCAUAGAGAUGACACAGAACACCGAUUGCGUAGGCAGCUUACUAAACUGCUGUCACUGACGCUGAGGCACGAAAGCGUGGGGAGCGAACAGGAUUAGAUCCCCUGGUAGUCCACGCCGUAAACGAUGAUCUCUCGUUGUUAGCGAUAUAUUGUUAGCGACUGAGCGAAAGCAUUAAGUGAUCCACCUGGGGAGUACGUUGGCAACAAUGAAACUCAAAGGAAUUGACGGGGGCCCGCACAAGCGGAGGAACAUGUGGUUUAAUUCGAUAAUACGCGAGGAACCUUACCUGGACUUAAAUGUAGAGCGCAUAAGUUAGACUGUUUUUUCCUUCGGGACUCUUUACAAGGUGCUGCAUGGUUGUCGUCAGCUCGUGCCGUGAGGUGUCGGGUUAAGUCCCAUAACGAGCGCAACCCCUAUCGUUAGUUGCCAGCGAGUCAAGUCGGGGACUCUAACGAGACUGCCGGUGUAAACCGCGAGGAAGGUGGGGAUGACGUCAAAUCAGCACGGCCCUGACGUCCAGGGCUACACACGUGUUACAAUGGCCGAUACAAAGGGCAGCUACCAGGUGACUGGAUGCUAAUCUCUAAAGUCGGUCUUAGUUCGGAUCGAAGUCUGCAACUCGACUUCGUGAAGCUGGAUUCGCUAGUAAUCGUAGAUAAGCAACGCUACGGUGAAUACGUUCCCGGGCCUUGUACACACCGCCCGUCAAGCCAUGGAAGCUGGGGGUACCUGAAGUCUGUCACCGCAAGGAGCGGCCUAGGGUAAAACUGGUAACUGGGGCU